ACACACACACACACACACACACACACACACACACACACACACACACACACACACACACACACACACACACACACACACACGCACACAUAGAAAUACAGACUGAUGAAGUGAUCACAGUGUUUUUGCAGCCUUUUGUUUGCUGUUUCUACUUUAACAGGUUUGACUCUUUCUGAUGGUUUUCUUCAUUCCACGAGUUUGUCAGUCCCUAAACUCUUUAUUUCUUGAUAUUCUCCUCUGAUUGGCUAACAGCAACACAACCCUACCAUUGACAACGCCGGUGUCUUAUCUCCACAAAUAAAACAAGCCUGGAGGAGCUUCUGCUGUGUGGUGCCAUUGCUAAUGCUAACAGUUAACUCCUAAUAGCUCAGAUCUUCUCUGCUGCUUCCUGGACGCUAAAGCAACAACAGCCAUCCUCAUCGCGAGCCAAGGUGCCCAGGGUCAGGAGAGGCUUUACCUGGUGGUCCUCCUGGGAGAGAGGCCUUCUACUGUCUUCAUGUUAAUGCUAUUUAGCUGUUUGAUAUUUGAACACAUUUAUUAAAACAAAUACUAAUA